AGAAUAGGUGAAAUCCACUUGUGC
rnacentral:siRNA from 1 species